UGGGGAAUUUUGGGCAAUGGGCGCAAGCCUGAUCCAGCCAUGCCGCGUGUGUGAAGAAGGCCUUCGGGUUGUAAAGCACUUUUGUCCGGAAAGAAAAGCUUUGGGUUAAUACCCCGAAGUCAUGACGGUACCGGAAGAAUAAGCACCGGCUAACUUCGUGCCAGCAGCCGCGGUAAUACGAAGGGUGCAAGCGUUACUCGGAAUUACUGGGCGUAAAGCGUGCGUAGGUGGUUCGUUAAGUCUGAUGUGAAAGCCCUAGGCUCAACCUGGGAAUUGCAUUGGAUACUGGCGAGCUAGAGUGCGGUAGAGGAUGGUGGAAUUCCCGGUGUAGCAGUGAAAUGCGUAGAGAUCGGGAGGAACAUCUGUGGCGAAGGCGACCAUCUGGGCCAGCACUGACGCUGAGGCGCGAAAGCGUGGGGAGCAAACAGGAUUAGAUACCCAAGUAGUCCCUGAGCGGGCUGGCAAGGCGCAU
rnacentral:rRNA from 1 species